rnacentral:misc_RNA from 1 species
UCUGAAGGAUCCCUCAACUUCUCUGAUAUGGUCAUUACUUUCCUAAAAUCCAACAUAUUGUAGCUCCUCUCCCUAAUUACUGCGUUCAAAAAGUUCUCAGCGUUAUUGCUCAAAAGUAAAUUAAUCAAUUGCCGUGCCUCAGCAAGUGCUGUUUUCAACUGAUUUGCGUCUCCCUCGGAGAAUAAAGAAGCUAGAUUAUCCACAAAAGAUUCCAACAGUCGGAUAUCUACAUCAAUUCCCAUGAUAGCAUUUACAUUAAACCUCUUCACAGAGUCCCCGGCCAAUGCCCCCACAAUAGUCUCUGAUAUGUGAGAAAGAACUUCUUGUAAAACCCUUUUAAGGACAUGAACUGGCAAUAUUUGUUGAGCAGUAGAAACCAGAGUCUCCAAAUAAAUUAUGACUUCAUUCACAUAUUCAUUUCCACUAUGUCCGGGCUCAUCAGCCAUCCAGUUCACGUUCUCAAUCAAUGUCGUGAAACCAUCAACUUUCUGUUUAAGCAACCCAUAUAGCAUCUCUUCCGCUGCAUCACGAGCUCUGUUUAGCGGAAAUUGCCUCCUACCCCUCUCUGUCAUUCUCAAUCGAAUGCCAGAAAGCUGCGCAGCAUGAUGAACGAAGAAAUCACAAGCACGUUCCAUCACUGCCAUAUUUGCUGAAAUCUGCAUAGCUUGCGAAACCCCAUGGACUGACCUAUUUAUAAGUUUCAAUAAAGCUUCAUCCAGAACCUCACUCAAAAG